rnacentral:rRNA from 1 species
GACGAACGCUGGCGGCGUGCUUAACACAUGCAAGUCGAACGGAAAGGCCCUGCUUUUGUGGGGUGCUCGAGUGGCGAACGGGUGAGUAACACGUGAGUAACCUGCCCUUGACUUUGGGAUAACUUCAGGAAACUGGGGCUAAUACCGGAUAGGAGCUCCUGCUGCAUGGUGGGGGUUGGAAAGUUUCGGCGGUUGGGGAUGGACUCGCGGCUUAUCAGCUUGUUGGUGGGGUAGUGGCUUACCAAGGCUUUGACGGGUAGCCGGCCUGAGAGGGUGACCGGCCACAUUGGGACUGAGAUACGGCCCAGACUCAUACGGGAGGCAGCAGUGGGAAUAUUGCACAAUGGGCGGAAGCCUGAUGCAGCAACGCCGCGUGCGGGAUGACGGCCUUCGGGUUGUAAACCGCUUUCGCCUGUGACGAAGCGUGAGUGACGGUAAUGGGUAAAGAAGCACCGGCUAACUACGUG